rnacentral:rRNA from 1 species
UACGUAGGCAGCGAGCGUUGUUCGGAGUUACUGGGCGUAAAGGGUGUGUAGGCGGUUUUCUAAGUUUGGUGUGAAAUCUCCCGGCUCAACCGGGAGGGUGCGCCGAAAACUGGGAGACUAGAGUGCGGGAUGGGAGAGUAGAAUUCCUGGUGUAGCGGUGAAAUGCGUAGAUAUCAGGAGGAAUACCGGGGGGGUAGACGGCUCUCUGGACCGCCACUGACGCUGAGACACGAAAGCGUGGGUAGCAAACAGG